AAACUCUAUUUGUUGUUGAUGUAAUCUUUUAAACACAAUUUGAGAUCGUUUUUAAGUGUACUCGACGAUCUUUUGAGAACAAUAUUCUUUUUAAUUUUUUUAAAAAAAUCUUUGAAUUGUGGUAAUUAUAAUUUUUUAAACUUGUUUAUGCGUAGGAUGAGAGAUAUAAUAUGAUAAUUGUAUGAUGUUUUGUGGAGAUUGUUGAAUACACCUUAAGUAUUUAUGGUUAGUAUAUUUUUGCAAACUUUU
rnacentral:lncRNA from 1 species